UACAGAGGGGGCGAGCGUUGUUCGGAAUUACUGGGCGUAAAGGGCGCGUAGGCGGUCCGUUAAGUCGGAUGUGAAAGCCCCCGGCUCAACCGGGGAAGUGCAUCCGAAACUGGCAGGCUAGAGUACGAAAGAGGGUCGCGGAAUUCCCGGUGUAGAGGUGAAAUUCGUAGAUAUCGGGAGGAACACCGGUGGCGAAAGGCGGCGACCUGGGUCGGAUGACUGACGCUGAGGUGCGAAAGCGUGGGGAGCAAACAGG
rnacentral:rRNA from 1 species